rnacentral:rRNA from 1 species
AUUGAACGCUGGCGGCAUGCCUUACACAUGCAAGUCGAACGGCAGCAUGAUCUAGCUUGCUAGAUUGAUGGCGAGUGGCGAACGGGUGAGUAAUACAUCGGAACGUGCCCUGUAGUUGGGGAUAACUAGUCGAAAGAUUAGCUAAUACCGCAUACGACCUGAGGGUGAAAGUGGGGGACCGCAAGGCCUCAUGCUAUAGGAGCGGCCGAUGUCUGAUUAGCUAGUUGGUGAGGUAAAGGCUCACCAAGGCGACGAUCAGUAGCUGGUCUGAGAGGACGAUCAGCCACACUGGGACUGAGACACGGCCCAGACUCCUACGGGAGGCAGCAGUGGGGAAUUUUGGACAAUGGGCGAAAGCCUGAUCCAGCAAUGCCGCGUGUGUGAAGAAGGCCUUCGGGUUGUAAAGCACUUUUGUCCGGAAAGAAAUGGCUCUGGUUAAUACCUGGGGUCGAUGACGGUACCGGAAGAAUAAGGACCGGCUAACUACGUG